UACGUAGGGGGCGAGCGUUGUCCGGAGUUACUGGGCGUAAAGGGCAUGCAGGCGGUCCGACACGUUUUUGUGUGACAGCGGGUGGCUUAACUACCCGAGGAUGCGAAAGACGGUUGGACUUGAGGACUCGAGAGGGACACGAAUCCGGGUGGAGUGGUGAAAUGCGCAGAUAUCAGGAGGAACACCGGGUGGCGAAGGCGGGUCAUCUGGGCCGAA
rnacentral:rRNA from 1 species